UACAGAGGGGGCAAGCGUUGUUCGGAAUUACUGGGCGUAAAGGGCGCGUAGGUGGCCUGCUAAGUCGAACGUGAAAUCCCUGGGCCCAACCCAGGAACUGCGUCCGAUACUGGUUGGCUUGAAUCCGGGAGAGGGAUGUGGAAUUCCAGGUGUAGCGGUGAAAUGCGUAGAUAUCUGGAGGAACACCGGUGGCGAAGGCGACAUCCUGGACCGGUAUUGACGCUGAGGCGCGAAAGCCAGGGGAGCAAACGGG
rnacentral:rRNA from 1 species